rnacentral:lncRNA from 1 species
AUGAUUCACUACGUUUCCAAGGUAACCUGUGCUCUUCGCUAUUGCAGCCCUACACCCAGGAUAAACCCUUAUUUCUCAGAAGAAGAAAAAAACAAAAGCAGGGUUGUGGGGGAGCCAGAGCCUAUCCCAGCAAGCAACAGUUUCAAGACAGCUCAAACCCUGAAUGGGACAACACUCCAUCCCAGGGUACACACAGACCAGGGCCAGCUUUCCCAAAAGCCUUUUAACCUACCAGCAUGUAGAGGAGGAAACCCACAUGAGUACAGGGAUGACAUACAAACUCCACACAGAUAGCAUCCCAGGUCAGGAGCUGGACCCAGGGCCCCAGUGCUGUAAGGCAGUGACACU